rnacentral:rRNA from 1 species
AGUCGAGGGGCAGCAUGAACUUAGCUUGCUAAGUUUGAUGGCGACCGGCGCACGGGUGAGUAACACGUAUCCAACCUGCCGAUGACUCGGGGAUAGCCUUUCGAAAGAAAGAUUAAUACCCGAUGGCAUAAUUCUUCCGCAUGGUAGAAUUAUUAAAGAAUUUCGGUCAUCGAUGGGGAUGCGUUCCAUUAGGUUGUUGGCGGGGUAACGGCCCACCAAGCCUUCGAUGGAUAGGGGUUCUGAGAGGAAGGUCCCCCACAUUGGAACUGAGACACGGUCCAAACUCCUACGGGAGGCAGCAGUGAGGAAUAUUGGUCAAUGGACGAGAGUCUGAACCAGCCAAGUAGCGUGAAGGAUGACUGCCCUAUGGGCUGUAAACUUCUUUUAUACGGGAAUAAAGUGAGGCACGUGUGCCUUUUUGUAUGUACCGUAUGAAUAAGGAUCGGCUAACUCCGUGCCAGCAGCCGCGGUAAUACGGAGGAUCCGAGCGUUAUCCGGAUUUAUUGGGUUUAAAGGGAGCGUAGGCGGACGCUUAAGUCAGUUGUGAAAGUUUGCGGCUCAACCGUAAAUUGCAGUUGAUACUGGGUGUCUUGAGUA